rnacentral:rRNA from 1 species
UUGACCUCGGAUCAGGUAGGACUACCUCGCUGAACUUAAGCAUAUCAAUAAACGGAGGGAAAAGAAACCAACAGGGAUUGCCCCCAGUAAACGGCGAGUGAAGCGGCCACAGCUUCAAAUUUGAAAUCUG